rnacentral:rRNA from 1 species
GACGAACGCUGGCGGCGUGCUUAACACAUGCAAGUCGAACGGAAAGGCCCUGCUUUUGUGGGGUGCUCGAGUGGCGAACGGGUGAGUAACACGUGAGUAACCUGCCCUUGACUUUGGGAUAACUUCAGGAAACUGGGGCUAAUACCGGAUAGGAGCUCCUGCUGCAUGGUGGGGGUUGGAGAGUUUCGGCGGUUGGGGAUGGACUCGCGGCUUAUCAGCUUGUUGGUGGGGUAGUGGCUUACCAAGGCUUUGACGGGUAGCCGGCCUGAGAGGGUGACCGGCCACAUUGGGACUGAGAUACGGCCCAGACUCCUACGGGAGGCAGCAGUGGGGAAUAUUGCACAAUGGGCGGAAGCCUGAUGCAGCAACGCCGCGUGCGGGAUGGCGGCCUUCGGGUUGUAAACCGCUUUCGCCUGUGACGAAGCGUGAGUGACGGUAAUGGGUAAAGAAGCACCGGCUAACUACGUG